UACGUAGGGUGCGAGCGUUAAUCGGAAUUACUGGGCGUAAAGCGUGCGCAGGCGGCUUUGCAAGACAGAUGUGAAAUCCCCGGGCUCAACCCGGGAACUGCAUUUGUGACUGCAAGGCUAGAGUACGGCAGAGGGGGAUGGAAUUCCGCGUGUAGCAGUGAAAUGCGUAGAUAUGCGGAGGAACACCGAUGGCGAAGGCAAUCCCCUGGACCUGUACUGACGCUCAUGCACGAAAGCGUGGGGAGCAAACAGG
rnacentral:rRNA from 1 species